UGGCGGUGAUGACGAUCUUAGGACACCUUUGGAAUGACCGUGAAAUAAUCGUUUCUUGCUGAGCCAU
ensembl:snoRNA SNORD58 Small nucleolar RNA SNORD58